rnacentral:lncRNA from 1 species
CUCUUUUUGGUUAGGUCAGCAAUAGGAGCAGGGACCACUUUUUAUACAGGAGCUCAUUAUUAAGUUGGAGACUUUCCUGUGGCCCCCUUGCCCUCCCCUGCAUUACCUAGUGUCAAGCAGAUUAUAAAUCAGGGAAUUAAACCAUCAGCACCUAAUGACAAAUGGGGCUUUCCCCAGUUCAACUCGCCACCUCAUCC